CACGCUGUAAACGAUGGAUACUAGGUGUAGGAGGUAUCGACCCCUUCUGUGCCGUCGCAAACGCAAUAAGUAUCCCGCCUGGGGAGUACGGCCGCAAGGUUGAAACUCAAAGGAAUUGACGGGGGCCCGCACAAGCAGCGGAGCAUGUGGUUUAAUUCGAAGCAACGCGAAGAACCUUACCAGGACUUGACAUCGCCUGAAUUAUGUAGAGAUACAUAAGUCUCUUCGGAGACAGGUAGACAGGUGG
rnacentral:rRNA from 1 species